AAAAGUGAGGUCUGGGGAGGAACACACAGAGCAGAUCUUUAAGGUCAACCUGCAGAGGUCCAUUUGCUCUGCCUCUGGGACCGUGGUGUGGGCAGCUCCUGAGCCCUCCCCCUACCACCCUACCCGACCACUCCCCUCCUGCCAGAGGUCAUCAGAAUGGGAAAGAAAUUUGCUGUCUUAGCGUUUGUCUUGCUUUUCCUUUUUAACCACAGCCUGUAGGGACACACCUCUGUUCUCAGUUCUCUGCUCACUUGUUCAUUUGGGACUUUAGGUCAGGAGUUGCCCAAUCCAAAGCCACAGGUAGACACAGCUUGCCACCCUGGUUCAUUGUAUAAUUGAUCUUUUAAACCAUAGAGGAUUUAAGAAGUUUAUCAACACAUGCCAGUACAUGGAUGGUAAAUUCUCUACCCCAAUGUCUAGAUAAACUUUCAUAGUGCAGAUGCAAACUUUUCAUAAUAAGUCUACCUAAGUGUAAGUCUACCUACCAAAUAUAGAUGCUGUUGAUAUCUGGUCUAUACCCCACUGUGAUUUUGUAGGGCAUCUGUGACUAUAUGACAGCUAUAUAAUGAGAUAACAGUAAAUGUUUCAGAUUGUACAUGCUUUAUAUACUAAACAACUUAGAAAACAUUCUUUGGUAGUAAAUGUAUUCCUACGGUGUCCUUUUCAAUGGCUACAUAGUAAUCCUUUGUAUCUCGAAGGUUUCCAGAGAUCCUUUAGCAUCAGAUAUGUUAGGGCUCUAUAUUUUGCUGUGCUGUAAGAAGCAGUCUCGAAGAGAACAUUCUUAGGCACGGAUGUUUGUGAAUAUCCUGAAUUUCUUGUAAAAUAUCCGGGAAUUGCUAAAUCAAAACUGGCACAUAACCUCAGGUUUGUUCCUGUCCUGGGUCAUUUUUAUCACCAAUUUGAGGCAACCUAGAGUCACAUUGGAAGAAGGAAACUUAUUUGAAGAAUUUCUUGAUCAAAUUAGCCUGUGACAAUAUCUAUGAGAGAUUGUCUUAAGUGAUGAUUCGUGAUGUGGGAGAGCCAGCCCCCAGCUCACUGUUGGCUACACUAUCCUUAGGCUGGUGGGUCUGGGCUCUAUAAAAUAAAAAGCUAGCUGAGCGUGUCCCAGAGCCUGAGCCUGUAAGCAGCUUCUCUCCACAGUUCCUCCUUAGACUUCCUGUCCUGACUUCCCUCAGUGACUGAUUGUGCCCUGGAAGUGUAAGCCAAAGUAACCCUUUCCUCCCCAGGUUGCUUUUGGUCAUGGUGUUUAUCACAGCAAUAGCAAUCGCAUAAGGACAAUCCCAUGUGGUUGUUUAGCAUGACCAGGGUAAAUCCCAUGAUUCUUUUGGUUGAGGGACAUUCUCUAAGCAUCUGUUACUUGCAGGCAUGUUUGUGGCUUUUUGAUACAGAAAUACUUUUGUGAUCUCAGAGGCUUAUCAUCUGGGAGGUCCAAAGAAGCAAUUGAGCUAGCGGAAUCUGCAUGUAAGGCAGCGGCGGCCGGUGUGUGUGUGUGUGUGUGUGUGUGUGUGUGUGUCUUGCGAUGAUUCCUGUGGGUCCCCUCCCCACACAUGACUUUCCCUGACUGGGUGUGCUGUGAGUCACUUUACUGCCUGUGCAUCGGUCCCCACUGUCAGGUGGGAAUAAUAAUGGUGCUGGCCCUAUCUGCCUGACAGAUGUGAGAUUCAAGUCUCCUCAUAGAUGGAAAAGUGGCUUAGGGACCGCAGAGCAUUCUUUCAGUGCUGUAUAAAGAGACUCGACAAUGCUGUCCUGGGGCACAUGCAAAGGGCAUCUCAUGAGGAUGCUGUUCCCACCCGAGACUUCCCCUGCUAAUCAGGAAUGUGGCCAACCACAGAUCCCACCCCCUUGCCUGGCACUCAUCCUCGGUGGGAGCCAGUGGGGGGGGGGAGCACACCCUCAACUCUCACAAAACCCAGGUUCAAAUCCCUGUGAGUGAGCACCAUUCUGUAGGACAGUUUCUACCACUGUGCGUCUGGUGAUUGUGAAAUCCUUGUGGGAAGUCAAAGGAAUGAAGCCUUCAAAGUGCUCGGUCCACCACUGGGCGCUAACAGAUGCAACGCAUAAGCUCUUUACUGUUAUCACCAUUGUUUUGGUUAUUGUUGUUGUGAGCAGAUAUAGAGAAAAAUGUAUUCCAUCAGCCCUUUGGUGUAUUGCAAAGCCACAGUUUAUAAUAGACUGGGUGUUCGGCCAUCUUUCCGGUACUUCCUAAAUAGCUCCUUCCUGGUAAAAGUGCCCUGCAGUAGAUACUUGGUGACUGACUUUUCUGAGCAAAGUUUACAGAGGACUAAUUCACUAGUGUAGAAAAUGAACAGACAUCCUGCAGAUUUGUCUCUCAAUUCUUCUUGUGUCUCUAAACAUGUACCUGGAAGGAGAUGCUAUGACAUGCUUCAGGUCAUAUCAUGGAUCAUAGCAGACAGGGCUGGAGCAAGGUAGCCUGACAGGUUGCCAGUCCUGGGUGAUUAAUAGCAGUUCCAGUCCCUGUGUGCUGUGGAUCCAGGCUACCAUGUGGUUACAUUGUGGUUUGGUUUCUAAACUAUCCACCACCAAAGGACAACAGUUCUGUUCACUUAAUAAAGAUGUAUUUGCCUAGAAUUCUAGUGUCUGACCCUAGGGUUUCAUACGGAUAAAGGCUUAGCUGUUGCACUAAAGAAAUAUCAGCUUGCAGUGGAAGGUUAGAGGGAGAUUUGCUGUCUCUGCCAUGGCAAUCCUGUGUCAUAUACUUCCUGCAGACAUCUGGGAACCCAGACUGUAUCUCCAUAGAUACGCCAUCACUUUCAAGGGUGCUGUUUCUGCCUGCAUAGUUAGAACAGGAUUCUCUAUGUCUAGUUGGUAAUGGGGAAGAACCAUUCACUUCUCCAUAUUUGAAGUUAGAAGAACAACACCUUUGUGGGUUCACAGCCUAUUUGCUCAAAUCCAGUAACACAGCUACGUCUGACUGCACAGAAGGCUGGCACAUGUCCCUCACUAGCUAGCAGACAGGAGUAGACACUUCAAGCUACAGUGUAGAGGAGUCCCUGUUACCCCAUAAGGAAAGAGUGUCUCCUAGAAGACACCAAGUUUGUCAUCAGAAAGGGAAGUUUUGUUUGUCUUUUUUUGACGGUCUCUCUUAUAGCUCACACUAGCCUGGAACUCACUGUAUGUCCAAGGCUAGCCUCAAACUCAUGGCAGUCUCCUGCUUCAGCCUCUCAGAUGCUGAGACAUUGCGGGUAUGAGCCAGCAUACCAUGCUCAAGAGUCUCUAUAUUGUUUUCCCUCACUCUCAGAUUUGGGAGAGUAAAGCCCUACUUCUUGAACGGUGUUGCCCUUCGGUCUGCCUGACCAGAUAGCCUCUGUAUUUGGAGGACAGAUGUCUGGGCAGACAGAGAUGGUGUGGAAGGAACUCUGCCUGUGCUUGUGAUUUCCCAGGGUUGGGUACAACGGCAAACUGUGAGUCUCUUCCUCCCACCCGUGGUAUAUUCCCCUUGGACAUAGGCACAGAUGUGGUUUGAAGAUGAGCUGGAAUCACCAACCUUGGCCGUGUCACCACAUUACAUUUGGUGCUAUAUCCUGGCACGUGGUUUUUGAAAGGAGUGCUCUGCUGACUGCACGGAGCUUGAACUUGCAUUAACCUGCUCUCGGUGGUCCCCGUUGAUGAGGCUCGGCCAAAUGAACAAAGCCGUAGAUUACUCUUCCAGAUGGCUUCUUUAUUUUUAGUUCGGUAAACCAUUUCUAGAAUCUCUUUAUUCCUUCUCAGG
rnacentral:lncRNA from 1 species